rnacentral:misc_RNA from 1 species
CAAAAUUCUGAGUAGAAUUGAAGAAAACAAAAUGUCUACAAAGUGAAGAAAAUAGAAACACAUCCAAACCUUUAUUUUUGAGACAAAACUGGUAGACUAAGUCCUAGAAUUCACCCAAGGCAUAUAUAUAGUAACUACAUACAACUAUUAAGUGUAUACUCCCCCAUAUUAUAGUUUUCUCAUGCAUUUGUCCUCACUCCUGAAUUACUUAUAACUUGAAGCUCUUAAGAGUGAGUUCAUCAUCGGCAACCCUCAAGCACGAGCCUUGCAUUUAACCAAUGACACACCUCAUCCAUUUCUCUUGGUACUGUGUAAUGACCAAGCCCGUCGUAUUUUUUGAAUGCAAGGUUCCUGAAUCCAGCUGAGUUCAAGACAAGGGUAGACCUCUCUCCAUAUUUGUAAGGAACAACUUCAUCACACGAUCCAUGACAGAGUAGAAUGGGCAAAGACGAGGCACGUCUUGCAGCCUCUAGUGAUCCUUCAAUCUUGUUACGCACGUUCCUUGAACCGGGAAGCCAUCCGCUUAGACCUAUGAUAGCCCUUAAGUUGACUGGAUAGGUGUUUCCAUUUCCGUAUUUUCCUUGUGCAAAGCAAGUUGCUGAGUACAGCGCAGUCGCUGCACCCAUGCUGAAGCCUCCAAUACCAAGUUUAACAUCAGCAGGUUCAGUUGACAAUAAGUUUGCAAUAUGUGCAACGGAAGCAUCUAAGCCUUCAAAAUCAUCAGGACCAUCAUCGGAAAGUUCUCCAACGUCAAACCAUGCAGUGCAAGGAAAU